CCCUGCAACAAAAGUAACAUCUAUGUAAUCAUAGAGAUCAUCCAUGAUUACAUAGGAGAAGAAAAGAAAGGGUGAGUCAACAGUUCAUAAAGAAUGAAGACUCCCCCGAGGGUUUUCGCAAUGAGCCAAACUUUUAUUUAUGUAAUCGCUUACAAUAUCAGCCACUCAAUUCCUAAAAAUAUUAUCAUUUAUUACACUCAGUGUGGCUGAUGAAGUAAACAACACAUUCAUAAAGCAAUUUAAAUCAUUACAUACUUAAGAGAGAUCAACAAAGACUUAAAGUCUUAAAAAGAGUUUAAAUUUACAUAACUUACUAAGGCAUCAAUGCAAAUCUACAAAGACUGACUAGCUUAAGUCAGUAAACCACCAGCUAGCAUAACCAAAGUCAGGUACUUGGUCAUCAUUAAAACGUAACCGUGCAAUACAUACAUAACUUUCGAGGACUUUCCUCCAUUCAUACAUUUACAUCUUUUCAUCUUUUCAGCACCGAGGGCUUGCCCUCCGAGAAUUGUCUCGAACUGAUGCUGAGGACUUGUCCCACUCAUUUAAUCUAUUCAUACAAUUACAUCUUUUCAUCUUUUCAGCAAAAAGGCUUUUCGAGCCUUAAAUGGGCAGCUCGGCUCAUUUAGUUGCUUUAAGUAGUUUUUUAAAAUGUGAUUAAAAAAAAAACUUAAAAACACAAACAAUAUGAAACAGAUAAACAUGAUUGACUAAAGAUAUAAAUAGGUACUUUUGAGUUUUGAGCAUUUACGAGAAAAUUCAAUUAUAAACUAAACUUGAUUUUCAAAUUUGGGAAAUUAAUACUACGCAUAAAUAAAAGAAAUACAAAUACAAAGACAAAUCAUACUCCUGAAUGACUUCUAAACUCGCACCGGAACCAACGCUAAUCCCUCAAUGACAUUCAUCAUCUCAUUCUUCAUAUACAUAAAUACAUCUAGCAUAAAUCUCAUAAAACUAAUACAUAUACACAUCAUUAAAACAUAACCGUGCAAUACAUAUGACAUUCAUCAUUCAUUCUUCAUAUACAUACAAAUACAUCUAGCAUGCAAUCUCAUAAAACAUAAUACAUAUAACCGAGGGCUUGCCCUCCGAGAAUUGUCUCGAAUUGAUGCUGGGACUUGUCCCACUCAUUAAUCUUUUCAUACAAUUACAUCUUUUCAUCUUUUCAGCACCGAGGGCUUGCCCUCCGAGAAUUGUCUUGAACUGAGCUGGGGACUUGUCCCACUCAUUUAAUCUAUUUUCAUUACAUAUAAAUCAUCAAUAGUGGGCCCAGCCCUGUCAUUUGAUAAUAGUGAGCCCAGCUCGUCAUUUGAUAAUAGUGAGCCCAGCUCUGUUCAUGAUUUCAAUGUACUUACAAUCUCAACAAUCAUGUUUCACUUGUUUAGCAUCUUUAAAAUAUCUAAAAUCAUUGAUAAAAUUCUUUGAAAACAUAAAACGUAUUCGUCCUCAGUGAGUAAAAGAUUACUCACCUUAAGAGACCAUGAGGGAUUCACAACUAAGGCGCUCAAGCUUGCUUACUCUCGCAAAUGCUUCCACGAUCCAAUUACCUUGUACUACAUUGGAGUACUAGCUUUAGUCUCCAAUCUCAUGUAACAUACCUCUUCUUCUUCUCAAUUUUCUGCAUCUCUCUCUCUCACGGCAUCAUCUCUCUCUCUCUCUCUCGGUCUAAGGGAGAAGAGCGGCUCAACUCGGCUCGAGCUCGAGCUAGAGUAUACAAUUUCUAAAAGCCCUAAUCGAGUCCAAGCUUGAACAACAGCAUUUAAAUCAAUCUUCCUUCAUCAAUCUCAAAAUCUCAAAGCAACAAAGUAAUCAAUACAUCAUAGCAUUUCUUUCAUACUUAAAACUUUCACAAUCACAACCACAAUAUCAAUCAUAUCUCAUCAAAUAUCUCAUAAAACAUUGAAAUAUCAAGUAGUAAUAAAGCAUGCUCAAACAACAUAUGAAUGGCUCGACUUUUUAUAACUUUAAAGAAACUUUAAAGACAUUAAAAUUCUGCUCUUUCUCAAUAUAACUGUGAAUGUAUGCAUAUGCUCCAAAAAUAUGUUUAUACAUAUACAUAUGAACCAUCUAAUGCACAUCUUGUACCAAAUAAAAUUCAUAAAACAUCAUAUGCAUCCAGCUGUAAACGUAUACGUAAGUUCUUCCCCUUUGAGAAUCUUAUGCAUACCCAUACAUCUAGCAUGACCUAAACCAAU
rnacentral:lncRNA from 1 species